UACGAAGGGGACUAGCGUUGUUCGGAAUCACUGGGCGUAAAGCGCACGUAGGCGGAUUUGUAAGUCAGGGGUGAAAUCCCAGGGCUCAACCUCGGAACUGCCUUUGAUACUGCGAAUCUUGAGUCCGAUAGAGGUGGGUGGAAUUCCUAGUGUAGAGGUGAAAUUCGUAGAUAUUAGGAAGAACACCAGUGGCGAAGGCGGCCCACUGGAUCGGUACUGACGCUGAGGUGCGAAAGCGUGGGGAGCAAACGGG
rnacentral:rRNA from 1 species